AUAUCACCAGAGCGGUGCACAGAGUACAUGUGCCUUUAAAAAACUCCUUUCCUUCUGACACUUCUUUGACAAACAUUAGGAAUGUUCGGAGAUGCAG